GCUUGGGUAGCUCAGUUGGUAGAGCACUUGCCCCCAACGCUACGGUCGCAGGUUCGAAUCCUGCCUCGGGCA